GCGCUGGGCUGGCCGGGAGCCUGGCGGCGGCGGCGGCUCCGGGGAUGGUCCACGCACUGGCGCCGUCACGUGUUGUUCUCCUUGGAGUGAGCCUGAGCGGCGGCGGCGGGUGGAGGGGGCUGGACGGGCGAGCACGGCCCCCGCCGCCUGUUUUGGUGCGGGGCGCCGGGAAACUCCGUGAAGAAGCCGGCGGAGAGGGAGUCGCCGCGGCGGUGCCCGCUCCCCCGCCGGCCUGAGGCACGGGAGGGGGCCGCGCCACCGGCCGCUGAGGCGCUGCCGACUGGAAUGAAGAGGAGGAGGAAGAGAGGAUGUUCCUUCGGCACUCGGGCUGCCUCCCCUCCCGCCGCUGCCGGGCUGCGCCGUGUGUGGAAAUGGCACUUUCUCUGCCUAACGAGAUGGGACUGAAUGGGGUCGCCAGCCUCCUCCGCACGCACGAGCGGGAGAAGCAGCAGCAGCAACCUCAGCGCUGAUAUUUGGGGAAGGGGGGGUUGUGUUGUGGGCGGCUUUUUUUUUUUCCCCCUCUUUUUUUGGGAGGGGGGGAGAAGGGGGAAAGAAGCGUGUAUUUUUGGGUGCAAACCCCGGACUUUGCAAAACAAUCUCCGCCCUCAAGAGGAUAUUUAAUCUGCAACAGAAAUCGCUACUCGCGGAGGCAAACUUGAGACGGGGAAGGGGUGCAGGGAGCGGAGGAAGGGGACCCCCGCCCCGCGCCCGGCCCCGGCAGAGCCCGACCUCUGCUAGGGAAGAUGCGUUUCUGUUUCCCGGCGGCUGCUCUUGGGACGAGACUUUCGUCUGGACUGAUCGGGACUGGACUUUUUAAGGACGCGCUUACCCAUCUAAGGGCGGUUUGGGCAUAAACAGCAACGCAAACUCUGAUUUGGUGCUGGAAGCUGCCUCUGCCACUGAACAGCUGCUCUCACCCUGCUUCUGUCCCUCCUCCGUCCCGUUCUCAAAAGGGGAUCCUGAGCUAUUUGCUGCUUUUUUCUUUUUUGAUUGUUGUUGCAUGAAUUUUAUUUUAGGUGGUUGUCUUUUCUGGCUGGCUUGGCUGUUUUGGGGUCUUGCGGACUGCUAGCUGCAGUAACAGCUCCACUGCCUCUCGCCAUGGCUAGCCCCACAGAUAAUAACGAGGGCUUCUUCUCAGAUGUCAGAAAGGUGGGUUACUUGCGCAAACCCAAGAGCAUGCAUAAACGCUUUUUCGUGCUGAGGGCAGCCAGCGAGUCUGGACCCGCCCGGCUGGAGUAUUACGAGAAUGAGAAGAAAUGGAGACACAAGUCAGGGGCCCCCAAGCGCUCCAUCCCACUAGAAAGCUGCUUCAACAUCAACAAACGGGCUGACUCCAAGAACAAGCACCUGGUGGCCCUCUACACCAAGGACGAACACUUUGCCAUUGCAGCUGACAGCGAGCCUGAACAGGAGAGCUGGUACCAAGCGCUGCUGCAGUUGCACAACAGGACCAAGGGCCACCACCAUCUCCAUCACCAUCACCACCACCACCACAGCGAUGUCACCUUUGGAGGCAGCAAUGCAGGACUGGGGGAAGCAGGUGAGGACAGCUAUGGCGAGGUAGCCCCUGGCCCGGCUUUUAAGGAAGUUUGGCAAGUAAUUCUAAAGCCUAAGGGCCUAGGCCAGACAAAGAACCUGAUUGGCAUCUACCGCCUGUGCCUGACUAACAAGACCAUCAGCUUUGUGAAGCUGAAUUCAGAUGCGGCUGCUGUGGUGCUGCAGCUGCUCAAUAUCCGCCGCUGUGGUCACUCUGAGAACUUCUUCUUCAUUGAGGUGGGGCGCUCAGCUGUGACCGGGCCCGGUGAGUUCUGGAUGCAGGUGGAUGACUCGGUGGUGGCGCAGAACAUGCAUGAAACCAUCCUGGAGGCCAUGCGAGCCAUGAGUGAGGAAUUCCGGCCCCGCAGCAAGAGCCAGUCCUCCUCGAACUGUUCCAACCCCAUCUCCGUGCCCCUUCGCAGCAGGCACCAUGUCAACAAUCCUCCACCCAGCCAAGUGGGGCUCAGUCGCCGGUCCAGGACCGAGAGUGUCACAGCCACCUCUCCUGCUGGUGGUGGGGGUGGAAGUACGGGUGGCAAACCCAGUUCUUUCCGGGUUCGAGCAUCAAGUGAUGGGGAAGGCACGAUGUCGAGGCCUGCCUCUGUGGAUGGCAGCCCAGUUAGUCCCAGUGCCAACCGGACCCAUUCGCACAGACACCGUGGCAACUCCAGGCUCCAUCCUCCGCUGAACCACAGCCGGUCCAUCCCAAUGCCUUCCUCGCGCUGCUCUCCUUCAGCCACCAGUCCGGUCAGCCUGUCAUCUAGCAGCACUAGUGGCCACGGCUCCACCUCGGACUGCCUGUUUCCACGAAGGUCUAGUGCUUCGGUUUCCGGCUCCCCUAGCGAUGGCGGAUUUAUUUCUUCUGAUGAGUAUGGUUCCAGCCCGUGUGACUUUCGCAGCUCUUUUCGCAGCGUGACCCCAGAUUCGCUGGGACAUACCCCACCAGCUCGGGGUGAUGAAGAGCUCAACUACAUCUGCAUGGGGGGGAAGGCCACCUCCUCUUGCUGCAGCCUGGCAGCCCCCAAUGGCCACUUCAUCCCACGCACCUGCCACCCACAGCAGCAGCCCCGCUACCCUAGUACGCCGUGCUGUCCCCGAGGUGGUAGCGAGGAGGUUGCCGACUUGGACAAGACAUUCAGGAAGCGGACUCACUCUGCAGGCACUUCGCCCACCAUCUCCCACCAGAAGACACCCUCACAGUCUUCAGUGGCCUCCAUCGAGGAGUACACAGAGAUGCUGCCUUCUUACCCCUGUGGUGGCAGCCGGCUGCCCUCCUACCGGCACUCAGCCUUCGUGCCCACGCACUCCUACCCAGAGGAGUGUCUGGAGAUGCACCACCUGGACAGUGGCCAUCAUCGGACCAACUCCACCCCACACACGGACGAUGGCUACAUGCCCAUGUCACCCGGCGUAGCCCCUGUGCCCAGUGGCGGGGGGCCCCCAAAGGGUGGUGACUACAUGCCCAUGAGUCCUAAGAGUGUGUCUGCCCCACAGCAGAUCAUCAACCCUAGCAGGGGGGGCCGCCACCCUCCAGCCACAGUGGACUCCAACGGCUACAUGAUGAUGUCCCCCAGUGGCAGCUACUCCCCUGAUGGCGGCUCUGCGGGCUAUGGCAAGAUCUGGACAAAUGGUGCUGGCCACCACCCGAAACUCUCGGUGGAGAGCAAUGAAGGGAAGCUCCCCUGUGGCGGCAGUGACUACAUCAACAUGUCUCCAGCCAGCGGCUCCACCACCAGCACCCCACCCGACUGCUACUUCGGAGGCGCGGGGCAGACGGGCGUCGAGGAGGCCGCCGCCGCGGCCCACCACAAACCCAUCUACUCCUACUUCUCGCUGCCACGCUCCUUCAAGCACGUGCACCGGCGGGGCGGCAGCGGGCCGGCGGUGACGGGCGAGGAGGGCAGCCCACAGCCCCACAUCGCCCUUGGCUCCGGCCGCCUCCUCUACGCCGCCGAGGACUCGUCCUCCUCCGCCAGCAGCGACAGCCUGGGUGGCGGCGGCGGCACGGAGGGUGGCCCCCCGCCGCAAGCGCAGCCCCCGCGCAAGGUGGACACCGCCGUGCAGACCAAGGGCCGCCUGGCGCGACCCACGCGCCUGUCGCUGGGCGGCCCCAAGGCCAGCACCCUGCCGCGGGCCCGGGAGCAGCCCCCGCUCCUCCUGCCGCCGGAGCCCAAGAGCCCCGGCGAGUACGUCAACAUCGAGUUCAUCGCCGGCGAGAAGCCGGCUUUCCCCUCGGCCGUCCUGGCGCUGGGCUUGCCGCCGCCGCCGCCAGGCAACGAGGGCGCCGAGGAGUACAUGAACAUGGAGCUGGGGCCGCCGCGGGCCCCCUGCCCCGCCGGCUUCGCCGCCGCGCGGGCUGCCCCCGCGGCCCGGCUCGGCCGAGGCGCUGCCCCCGGCGGCCGGGACUACGUGACGAUGCAGCUGGGGAGCGCCGCCGCGGGGGGCUCCUGCUCGGACUGCGCCGACAGCCCUUCCCCCUGCUCGCCCGCCCUCCUGCUCAACUACGCCGACGUGCGGGCGGGCCGCUCCGUCGCCGAGAAGCCCCCGCCGGCGUCGACGGCUUCCCCGGAGUUGCCGCGGCCGCCGGCCGAGCUGUCGGCGGCGCCGCCGCGCUCCUCUUCCCUGCUCGGGGGCCCGGGCGCGGGCAGCGCCUUCACCCGCGUCAGCCUCAGCCCCGGCCGCAACCAGAGCGCCAAGGUGAUCCGCGCAGACCCGCAGGGCGGCCGGCGGCGGCACAGCUCCGAGACGUUCUCGUCCACGCCGAGCGCCGCCCGCGGAGCGGCUGGCGGCGGCGGGCUCGGGGCGCCCUUCCCCUGCGGCGGCGCGGGGGGCGCCGAGGAGGUGAAGCGCCACAGCUCGGCCUCCUUCGAGAACGUCUGGCUGCGGCCCGCCGCGGGGGAGACGGCCGGCGCCCCCGCCGCCCGCCGGGAGCCGGGGGCCGCGCCCGCCCUGGAGAACGGGCUCAACUACAUCGACCUGGACUUGGUGAAGGACUUCAGUCACCGCCGCCACCACCACCUCCACCCCCCUGCCGAGGGCGCCGCUCUGCCGGGGGGGAAGCAGCCGCCGCCGCCGCAGCCCCCGGGCCAGCCUCGCGGGAGCGGCCACUCCAGCGACGACUUGAGCGCGUACGCCAGCAUCAGCUUCCAGAAGCGGGAGGAGAUGUAGGAGCCGGGCGCCCGCCGGGGAAGGUCUGCUGGGGCAGGGACUGUCAUUUUACUUUGUUUGUUCAGCGGCCAGUAAAGUGAGGCCUUCAACUGUGACUGAGGCUCCUGUAUGCUGUUGCAGUGCAAACAAUACGAAUAAUCAUUAUCACUGGUUAUCACUUCAGUUCCUGUACAGCGCCGGCUGAGCGUUGUCCAAAUACAUAACAUUCUGCCACUGCUGAGAUUCAAAGUCUUCAUAAACCCCAAAUCAAUAAGCCUCACCUUGUUCGCAAACCUCGAGUUGUCAAGCUUUCUCCCCGUCCUCCAUCCUGGUAGCUGUUUCUGCUGAAACUUGUCCAGAAGUGCUGGCACUAGGAUUUUUUUCAAGCCUGCAUCAUAAAGAAUGAUGACCUAUACAACCUCAGCAAAUCCUUCUUUUAACUCAUGGGUAUCAAGACUAUAAAUGUUUCAUGCUAUCACAACUAGGACCUCACCUCCUCCUCUUCCUCUGUAAAUGGGUACGAUGCAUCCAGUUCAGUUUGUUUACUUUACACAAACCUCAGGAGUUAGUUGACUGAGCUGCACAUCCUGUGUUGUGCCAAGCAGAAGCACUGUGACACCUGGACAAUGAGUCUUUCUUACUUCAUCCUCUACCAUAAGGACUUAGCUGGCCACAAUGAACUGAUGUGCCCACCACUAUGUCAUGGUGAGAAUGGGUAUUUUACUAGCACAUUUACACAACUUCAUUUGCUGCUGAAAACCUGUAUGACAAAUCAUCAUUGUAAAUUAUUACAUACAAAACUUAAUGUUGGUUGAAGAGUAUUAAAUAUUUAACAUAGGUUUUGAUUUAUACAUGUACUUUUUUAAUUAAAAUGUAACUUUUCCUACAGCACAUCUUUUUUGAUGUGGAACUGAGGUAUAUUAUAUUCUGUUGUAAACAGAGUGGGAAACCUGCUUAAAACAAGGCUUCUAAGAAUAGAGUAGGGUACUAUUCUUGUUUUAAGAUUGUAAUUCAGAAAAUAAUAUAAUAUGAGUCAUUGGUCCCUGGGCCUUGAUUGUACAGUCAUAUUUACUGAUACUAUCAGUUGUAAGAUAACCCUGAUGUUGAGUUGAGUUCUUUCCAAAAGAAAAAUAAUUUUGUACUCCUUGUAAAAUAAUAGUCUGUAUUAACUACAAUGAAGACAAACAUUACUGUACAUGGUAUUUACAAGUGUCAACUUGAAUUCAUCAAUUGCACAGGAACUGACAAAAAAAAAUCAGAAAAAAGAAAUCAGAGUCUUCCACUGUAUAUAUUGUAAAGAGAAAAAAAAAAAACAAACAACCAACAGAAAACCACAAAACAAAAUGAAAACAAAAAAGGGUGAACUUUUCAAAUUGACUCUUUCCCUGGAAUGAAAAUAUGGGUGUUUGUAAAUUCUGGAAAUCUCUUUCUAUAUGUAAUAAACUAGAUACUGUUUUAUCUGCUGUAGUGUUUUUUGGGGUGUUUUGUUUUCUUGGUAAGCUGUCUCAAAUAUCUCAAAUUGUCGCACCAGCUUUUUUUGAUGUUUCCAUUGUGUGUAAUUGAGAAUGGCUGUGGAUCACCAUAGCUUAAGAAUAAAGUCAAGUGUAAUUAGGUGUAGUAGGGAGUAUGCUUCCUUGAAUUAUUUCACUAAAGCUCUCGUUUCAGUUUUCUGGAGAAUCUUCAGGAUACAGCCUUCCUUCCACUUGAGUAGGUGGAAGAGUUUACAGCAAGUCAAAUCACUGGAAGCCACAGCAAGAACAGCCCAGAUAAUUGUCUGGAAAUCAGUGCAAGAGGAAGGAUGAGGAAGAAUUCUGCUGCGACUCUCCUGUGCUCCACUCUGGUUCUGUGCAGAUAGAAAUUCUUUUGUGCAUAGCAUUUGCAGAGCUUUAAUUCUUUUUGAGACUGGAAAAAUACCAAGAUCAUGGAUUUCCAAGUAAAACGUUGUUGAAGUGAUAAUUGCACUUGAAGCCAUGUCAGGUCCCUGUUGGUCCCUCCUCCUGCUUCAGCGAAGCAACUCCAUGGACCAGUGCACAUUCAACGGGAUUCUUGUUAUCAGGACAAGGCAGGCACUCGAAGCACCAGCUGCUCUCCCUGCAGGAUGGCUGUCAAACCCUCAAAGAAGGGGUUUCUUUCCCCUGAGAUGUUUAUGAUGUCUGGGGUUAGGCUGUGGUUAAUGCAAUGGCCUCUUCUGACUGCGGUAUAGGUGAGGGGGCCCUUGCACAGCUAUUUUUCAACUCUCCUUUUGCUGGAGGCUUACCAUUCCCUUAGAUCUGCUGGUAUUAUUGCACCUAUAUAACCACUUUGACCCUAUCAAAUCAAAAUACUCACUUAAGAAAGGACUUGGAGCUUAAGAAUAUUUAAACCAUUCCAGAUCCCUGGGAACAAUUACACGAGUGGCGGUGCUGGCAGAUUUGAGGAUGUUGCAUGGUGAGGCCGCAGCCUGAGAAGGACCUGCGACUGCCCAGGGCGCUGCCUUUGGAAAUCUUGGCCUUUGCUGACAGGAGAGUCUCCUCCCAAAGAGGCUGAUACUAAUCGGUAAAAGAUAAGAGGCUUUGCUGCUUUUUUUUUUUUUUUUUAAAUGUAGGAAGGGGCAAGUUUGAUCCUCUGUAGCUUGCCUAUUAUUCUUGAUGAGCAUUAGUGUGUAUUUUUCCAAAGAAUCAUUAAUAUCUAAGAAGGCAGCACUUCCUUUUAAAAGAAAGCCCCAUGCAUCAUAUCAGUAGUUAAAUUUGUAAGUUCCCCAUCUUAAUUUUAUCUUAAGAUCCUUCCUUUUUUUUUUAAUGGGAUUUAGUUGCAAUGAAAACUUGCAUAUGUUCUGAAGUAAAAACAUAAAAACAGCUCACCCCCAACCCCUUUGCCCACAGCCUUCUCCAGCUUAAUGAAUUAACAUAAAUGUUCACUGUGUUGAUUUGGUUGCUAAAUAUUAGCCCGUGUUGAUGUUCAAGUGCCUUGGAUAGAACCGUAUUUUAUGGCCAUUGUGCUUUGCAUUGUUUCAGAUAAUUUGCAUACUCUAGCAAUUGCUGAAAUAAUAGGUUUGUAGGUACAGGAAACUAAUGUUAAGUUUUAAAGGCAUUAGUGAGUACAUUUAAUCCAGGUAGAAGUAUUUCGUAGUGAUAAAUCUAUGAGCAAAUUUUGUUCAUAAAAUACGAAUGUUAAAAGCUUGUAAGAAUUGGCAAUGGUCAUUAUGGAAGGGAAUGGUGGGGGAGAAUAGUGCAGAUCUGGUGGGUUUCCAUUGAUGUUCACUGUAAAGUACGGCCAGAGAAACAGCUUGUUAAUGAUGUUAACUUGCAUAGUUUUUAUGUUAAUUGUUAUUUUUUUUCCUAGUAAAAUUAAACAUGCCUGUUUAGCAAAUGUUUUGAAAAGGCUUUUGAAACAAAAUGCAUUCAUAACCAAACCUGAAACUCUUGAUUCUUUUCUUGCAUAGAUUUUUACUCUUAUAAAUGGCAAACUUUAAUAAAUAGACCAUUAUGAAGCAAACCCUUUUAAAUUAAAGCAUAAAUGCCUCAAAACCACAGUACUAUCCUAUCUUAGCCUUUUAUGAAUUCUUUUGUUCUGUCUGCCACAGAAGCAAUUAUCAUUUCUCCAAGUUUGAAAAUGAGCAAAUGGGAUCAGUCCUACAUCAGCUAGUAAAACUCAGAUGUUCAGGAGUUUAUUUUGCUUUGAAUUUUUUUCAAGUGGAAGUUUCUGGUUAUUAUUUGAGUUCUUUUCUGGCUCCAUUACUGGGACAGCUUCAGUUUUCAAAAAAUCUGUACUGAAUGCAUUUAUUAGUGCUAUUGGUUGAAAAUGAAUGGGGUUGGAAAAACCAUUUGAAGCAGUCUCCAGGAGCACAAGCAACACUUAUACACUUGGGUUUUUGCAAGGAUUGCUGUGUUCAAGCUCAAUUUGAUGCUGA